UUACAUUACAGAAAUAAUGCUAUGACUGUUUUUUUCAAGGUGUUUACAUAACAGUUGAUAAUUACUUGUACUACAGAAACAGUAGCGACUCCCCAUCGAACUUCCUUACGCAGUACAUUUCCACGAAAAACGUAUGGCUGGUCUUGGCUAUAGCCGCCUCUUUCGUAUUGGUUGUAAUUUUACUGAUUUUACUGGUUUUGCGAAGUCGCAUAUGUUUGGCCAUCGUUUUAGUAAAGGAAUCUAGCAAAGCAAUUAGUUCAGUGACGGCAUCUUUAUUCUUUCCCGUCUUUCCAUGGAUUAUUCAGAUUGUAGUGAUUAUUUAUGGUCUCGUUAUCGGAUUGUUCCUUUUAACACUAGGGGACCCUUAUUACCAA